UCAGGCCUAACACAUGCAAGUCGAACGCAGUAGCAAUACUGAGUGGCAAACGGGUGAGUAUAAUGUGGGAAUCUGCCUUUUGGUUUGGAAUAACACGAGGAAACUUGUGCUAAUACCAAAUAAGCCCUUACGGGGAAAGUUUUAACGCCGAAAGAUGAGCCUGCAUUUGAUUAGCUAGUUGGUAAGGUAAAAGCUUACCAAGGCAACGAUCAAUAGCUGUUCUUAGAGGAAGACCAGCCACAUUGGGACUGAGACACGGCCCAGACUCCUACGGGAGGCAGCAGUGGGGAAUCUUGCACAAUGGGGGAAACCCUGAUGCAGCGAUGCCGCGUGAGUGAAGAAGGCCUUUGGGUUGUAAAACUCUUUCGUCGGGGAAGAAAAUGACUGUACCCGAAUAAGAAGGUCCGGCUAACUUCGUGCCAGCAGCCGCGGUAAUACGAAGGGACCUAGCGUAGUUCGGAAUUACUGGGCUUAAAGAGCUCGUAGGUGGUUAAAAAAGUUGAUGGUGAAAUCCCAAGGCUUAACCUUGGAACUGCCAUCAAAACUUUUUAGCUAGAGUGUGAUAGAGGUAAGUGGAAUUUCUAGUGUAGAGGUGAAAUUCGUAGAUAUUAGAAAGAACACCAAAUGCGAAGGCAACUUACUGGAUCACUACUGACACUGAGGAGCGAAAGCAUGGGUAGCGAAGAGGAUUAGAUACCCU
rnacentral:rRNA from 1 species